rfam:Bombyx mori DNA, contig: Bm_scaf13_contig10530, strain: p50T/Dazao, build 2, whole genome shotgun sequence.
UUAACUCAAAUUUGUAUGGAAUUGGAACGUUUGCCUACGUUUGGCGCUAGGGGCGCUGUUCCAAUUCCGAACACAUUUGAGUUA